rnacentral:miRNA from 1 species
AUAAGGUAGAGAAAUUGUUGUC